UACGUAGGGGGCAAGCGUUGUCCGGAUUCAUUGGGCGUAAAGAGCUCGUAGGCGGCUUGGCAAGUCGGGUGUGAAACCUCCAGGCUCAACCUGGAGACGCCACCCGAUACUGCCAUGGCUAGAGUCCGGUAGGGGACCACGGAAUUCCUGGUGUAGCGGUGAAAUGCGCAGAUAUCAGGAGGAACACCGGUGGCGAAGGCGGUGGUCUGGGCCGGAACUGACGCUGAGGAGCGAAAGCGUGGGGAGCAAACAGG
rnacentral:rRNA from 1 species